UACGAGGGGGGCGAGCGUUGUUCGGAUUCAUUGGGCGUAAAGGGUGCGUAGGUGGCUUGGUAAGUCGGAUGUGAAAUCCCGGGGCUCAACCCCGGAACUGCAUUCGAUACUGCUUGAGCUUGAGUCCUGGAGAGGAGAUCGGAAUUUACGGUGUAGCAGUGAAAUGCGUAGAUAUCGUAAGGAAGACCGGUGGCGAAGGCGGAUCUCUGGACAGGAACUGACACUGAGGCACGAAGGCCAGGGGAGCAAACGGG
rnacentral:rRNA from 1 species